UUCAUCAUCUGUACAAUUUGUGAACACUGUAAUUUUAACCAUAGCUGUUCACUUAAAAAAAUUUCUAAACCAAUAAUUUUAUUUUUUUCCUUAACCCAUUCAAUAUGACAGUUGACUGUGGACAUGCCAUAUGUGGAAUGGAUCCAUUGUAUCUAAAAUGUUGAACUGAGGGUACACUUGAAAUUCAGACCAGCCACAGUGAAUGAUUUGUUUAUGAUUUUAACAAACAAGAAGACAAGCAGCCAGAUGUUUUCCACACCAAAAGAAGCACAGAUAAUGGAGAUAAUGGGAGCCUUUGUAAACCGUGACUUCAGUUACAUUCAACCAUAAAGUUCUUCAGACAUUGAGCACUUCAGCUCUGUAGAAGUUGUCAUCACCCUUGCAGAAAGCAGCGACUCUCUGACCUGGCUGAAUAGGCUGCCUACAAUCUUCGAUCUGCUUGCAUACCACUUGGCUGGAAAUGAAGAAUAAUAAAAUAGUGUAUAGGUACAGGAAUACUUCGCUAUUCACAACCCCAUUUAUCUGCAAUUAAUAUUUUAACACCCCUAUUAGGUAUUCGCAAAGCAUACCCUUCUUAUUUGUAAAUGAAAAAUUAUGAUACCUACAGUAAUACAGUACCUGUACUAUAUUUCAAACCGGGUGGCUAGCCACAGCUUUCAAAUUUUGAAGA